UGGUCUGUGACCAAGCCUGGUUAAGGUACCUGUUUUACAUGCAGGAAAUCGGGGGUUCAAAUCCCUCCAGGCCAA
rnacentral:tRNA from 1 species